GCACAAAGCGCGUAGAGCACACAGAGACUCUGGAGCUAGACUAGGGUCGGGGUGAAUGCGACUCCGCCACUGGCAGGUUGUGAUUUAACGUCUCUGGGACCCCAGAGUUCCAGGGGGCCCGUUCAAGGUGGACGCUCGCGCGGCUUGAGAAUAAAAAAGGAGGCAAUUGACCCCAAAGAGAGAAACAACUUACCCAAGAUCUCAACUCUUCAGGAUUCAUGUCUGCCCAGAUCCUUGUAGCUCCCUGAUCCAGAUCUUCUGAAUCUGCUCCUGCCUCAAACCAUUGAAAAAAAAAACUUCUUAGGUCCUUCAAGAGUAAACGUUCUACAUUACAGAGAACAAGCUCUCUGUUAGAAGCACCUCUCACCUUACAUAUUUUCUCCAAGCUGAAUUCUAUCCCUCAAAAGAACCCAAGCAGAGAUAUUGCUUCAAUGGGAACCCUUCUGUGAACUUGCUGAGGUUGGGAAAGAAGCUCUGCUGUAUGCUCUGUGGCCCUUUCUUUUUCCUCCAUCAUGGCACACAGCUCACUGGACCGUAGUUCUUGCUGGAUCAUUGAUAUUCCUUAUUGCACUGUAGCCCCAGAAAGCCAAGGCUAGUAUUUCGUCGUUACAGGAUCCUCAGAGCCUGGCUUCUACUAGGUGCUUAAUAAAUAUUUGGUCGUGGUCAGAUAAGGUCCACUGGUG